rnacentral:lncRNA from 1 species
AGGCCUUGGAGAUUUGAGACCUUGGAUUCUAUACAGACCUGAGAAUUGGAAAGACUCUGAUGCAGCUUGUCAUCCGGGCAAAUCAAUGGAACCUUGUCUCCAUAUACCACCCUCUCAUGACUGCAAGGCAAAAAGGAAUUUUGAUAUGGGUACAGUGGUUCCUUAUGUCAAGCACUGUGAGGAUUCAACUUCAGGAUUGAAGCUUAUUAACCCUGACAAUAAUUCUAGAUAAGGUUUACUCUUAUUCUUUUGUGAAUUUCCUUUAUGUUAGAUAACAAAGUAAUUUUUUCCCAGAGAAGUAUAUAUAAUAAUAUUCUGGUCUAGGUUUAAAAGAAGUUUCUUUUUGUCAAUUGUAUAGUCGAACAGGAAAACAAACCUAAACCACAUUCCCAAGAACUAAGGUUUAGGUUAUAAGAAUAUAUAACCCAAACCUUUACAAGAGACUACAAUAAGAAUAUUCAUGUUCCUUUGUUUCGGAUAAUAUGUUUCUUUUAUUUUUUUUACAGAUUUAUAAAUAUUAGUUUUUUUUUUAUCCGCGUGCAAAAAGCAUGGGAAUAUUAAUAGUUCGACUCAUUAUUAUUAAUUUUGUUAUAUAUAUUUUUUUAUAUAAUUUUUAUAUGCAUUAAUUCAAAGAUCAAAAGAAAUUCUACUUGAAUUGAUUAUUUUUAAAUAUUUUUAAAUAAUAAUAAAUAUUAAAUAAAAAUAUAAAAUAGUUAAUAAAAAUAAUGCAUUUAUUUAAAAUGUUGUUUCAGUUGAUAUAUUCAUUAAUUAGAUAAAUAAUUCUAGAAAUAAAAUAGAAAAAUAUGAUAAAGAUACAAAUAAAAAAUAUUUUUUACACAAUAAAUAAUACUUCAUCUAUUUCUAAAUUACCUACUUAAAUUAUUUUUAGUAUUUAUUUUAUUAUUUUAUCUAGUUUUAAAUUUUAAACAAUUAUUUAAGAAAUAUGACUUUUAGUCCAAAUAAAAGUUUAUAUCUCCUGUAUUUGCCUUAAAGUUUCUUGAUUAUUCACUUCCUAUGUUCCAAGGAUCCAUCGAAUUGUCUCAAUUGAUAUUUUAUAAACUAAGUUGAUAUUUAGUUGUUUAAAUAAAGCAAAACUCAAUCACAUAAUAAAAUUAUAAUAAAAAUAUUGUCAAAUAUUAAAACAAUCUCUAAGAAUGAAAUAAAUUUUUAUUUCAUAUUUUUUAUUUAGUAAAAUUUUAAUAGAGUUACUUAUUAAAAGUUUCCUAUAUAAAACCAUACAUUUUAUAUAGAAUUUUUAUUUUUUUCAAGCAUAUUAUCAUAUGUUUAUUUGGUGGAUAUGACUCGUUUAAUUUAAAUGUUCCACUUAAAAUUUUUUUAAUUGUAGGAAUUAUUAUAUAUUUAUAAUUUAAACUGCCAUAAUAAUAUUUAAAUCUUUUUUAAUUAUAGGAAUUAUUAUAUGUUUAUAAUUUAAACUACCAUAAUUUUUAAAAUAUGAGAAAUAGCAUAUUGAUAGUAUAGCCUAGAUUUCCAUAUAAAAGUACUAAGACAUAUUUUCUAUAUAGAUUUCUCUAUUCAUCUUCUUUAUUUUGAUUUUCCAUAAUAAAUUCUAUUAUACCAGGAAAAAAGUCAACAAGAAUGCCAGCUUUAAUCACUAUGAUUCACAUUUUUUUUAUUUUUUUAAUCCAAUUUAAUAAUUUAUUAUGUAUAAAGUUAAAUUUGUAUUUCAAUGUACUUUUAAUAUUAUUAACCAAUAAUAAUCUUUUGUAGAAUUUUUUUUAUAGAUUUCUCUAUUUUCUCAUUAAAAGUUAUAUUCUACUAAAAAUACCAAUAACAAAAAUUUGAUCUUUAGUUGCUUUUGGACUUCACAUUUUCUUUUAUCAAGUUUAAUAGUCUAAUUAUAUAUAAAAUAUUAAUUUUUCAUUUAAUAAAAAUUUUAUUUUAUAAUAAAUAAUAAAAAUUCAAUAGAGUGGAACUUUUAGAGUUGUACUUGAUAAAUUAUUAGCACAAUCUAUUAAUAAAUUUAAUUAAUAAAUAAUUAAAUUUAUCAAAUUAUAGAAUCAGCAAGGUCCUUUUCAGUACGUGUGUUUCCUCCUUUUUACACUUUUAUAUAUACUUAUUAUGUUCUAAUAAUAAAUAAAUAAAUAAUUAUUAGAUCUAGAAUCAUAAACACUACUAAUGUUAUAUAAAGGGAUGGUUUUUAAUUAGAUUAAUCCAUUUAAAUAUUUAGAAUUACUAUUAAAUUUACGAUUAAAGACUUUUAAAAAUUAAAAAAAUUUAUAAAAUUUAUGAUUGAAUUUUAUAAGGAGUAACCCACCACCACCUUUCUAAUCCAUUAUACAUGAAAAAAGAAAACUAUAGAACAGAAAAGGAAAAAAACUAAAACAAACUUAUAAUUUUUUCUGAUUUUCAUUGUUACUCACCGCCAACUGUUGUCCUCAUUGCUUGCCGUUCAUCGCCUCGUCGCUUGUCAUCCUCAUCGCCUAACACUAUCGCUGUCGUAUAUCGCCACUCGUCGCCUUGUCGCCUGCCGUCCUCAUCGCUCUUCUUUGUUAAUAGUACGAUAGUGUGGGUUGGAUUUGUUCUUC